rnacentral:rRNA from 2 species
GAGCGAAAGCGUGGGGAGCGAACAGGAUUAGAUACCCUGGUAGUCCACGCCGUAAACGAUGAGUGCUAAGUGUUAGGGGGUUUCCGCCCCUUAGUGCUGCAGCUAACGCAUUAAGCACUCCGCCUGGGGAGUACGGUCGCAAGACUGAAACUCAAAGGAAUUGACGGGGGCCCGCACAAGCGGUGGAGCAUGUGGUUUAAUUCGAAGCAACGCGAAGAACCUUACCAGGUCUUGACAUCCUCUGACAACCCUAGAGAUAGGGCUUUCCCUUCGGGGACAGAGUGACAGGUGGUGCAUGGUUGUCGUCAGCUCGUGUCGUGAGAUGUUGGGUUAAGUCCCGCAACGAGCGCAACCCUUGAUCUUAGUUGCCAGCAUUCAGUUGGGCACUCUAAGGUGACUGCCGGUGACAAACCGGAGGAAGGUGGGGAUGACGUCAAAUCAUCAUGCCCCUUAUGACCUGGGCUACACACGUGCUACAAUGGACAGAACAAAGGGCUGCAAGACCGCAAGGUUUAGCCAAUUCCCAUAAAUCUGUUCUCAGUUCGGAUCGCAGUCUGCAACUCGACUGCGUGAAGCUGGAAUCGCUAGUA